AGUGAACGCUGGCGGUAGGCCUAACACAUGCAAGUCGAACGGCAGCACAGUAAGAGCUUGCUCUUACGGGUGGCGAGUGGCGGACGGGUGAGGAAUACAUCGGAAUCUACUUUUUCGGGGGGGAUAACGUAGGGAAACUUAAGCUAAUACCGCAUACGACCUACGGGUGAAAGCAGGGGAUCUUCGGACCUUGCGCGAUUGAAUGAGCCGAUGUCGGAUUAGCUAGUUGGCGGGGUAAAGGCCCACCAAGGCGACGAUCCGUAGCUGGUCUGAGAGGAUGAUCAGCCACACUGGAACGGAGACACGGUCCAGACUCCUACGGGAGGCAGCAGUGGGGAAUAUUGGACAAUGGGCGCAAGCCUGAUCCAGCCAUACCGCGUGGGUGAAGAAGGCCUUCGGGUUGUAAAGCCCUUUUGUUGGGAAAGAAAAGCAGCAGGUUAAUACCCCGCUGUUCUGACGGUACCCAAAGAAUAAGCACCGGCUAACUUCGUG
rnacentral:rRNA from 1 species